UGCCCUAAGUGCCCGGAUCACGCCCACCGCGCAGGCGCCGUUCCUGCUGCUCGCUCUUCCCCCACCCCGCCUCUUCCUUCUCGCCCCUCCCACCCGCGGGCCAGCCCCACGAAGGCGGGCCGAAGAGAAGGGGCGGGCUUGUUUACGGCCCGACUGCGCAGGCGUGCUCACCUGGCGCGCUCCACGCGGCGGGGCGUCCGCAAGCUCCUCCCUUGGGCGUGGCUUCCGGGCUGCUGGGCUGCUUCCCAGGUGAAGCCGGCUCCCGCUUGGGGGCUCAGGUUGCUCAUUCCGCAUCCGCCCGGGCAGACGGAAAGCCGGACCGGGGAAGCCGCGGCGGGCCUUGCGUCCGGAGCUUGAGGCGAACUUGAGGGCGCCUCCUCAGCUGUCUCCCGCCCUGCCCUGAGGGGUACCGGGACCCCGAAGAGAAGAGCGCCACCCCGACUGCCACUGCUUCGGGGCCAGCACGCGGGGUCCCCUGCCGGGAGCUGGGACGGCUCCAGCCCUCCUGCGCCCUCCCUUCGGGACGGGGACUGUCCCGCCUAGAGGGCUCGAGGACUCGCGCGACCGUCUGGAUCCCCUGUCCGGAAGCCCCUGUGAAGCCUCCUCCCCGCCGUUUCUGAGAAGUUCCUCAUACCUGUUACACCUGUGCUUUCACGCCUUGCAUAAGUGAGAUUCCUUAUCACUGAAGGCUGCUCACCCCGGAAGACUUCACUCCAGAAGACUUCACUCCAGAAGACUUCACUCCAGAAGUCACUCCUGCCUGGUGUGCUGUCUGCUUAUUCAACUCUCAGGUUUCAACUUCAAGGUGGCUUUCUCAAAGAGGCUUUCCCUGAAGCCCCAAAUGUCUCCUCUGUGCUUGUGGAAAAUGUGCUUCUGCUAAACCAAGAAAGAAGAAAGCAUGAGAUCCAUGAAACAGGAAUUCUAGCCAAGGAAAAUGGUGAAAGGAAUCCCUGGAUGUGCAGCAGGCCUGAAUUGGAGCACCGCUGCUUCCAGACUCCCCGCCCUAGCCUGUUGAAAGGGCUCAGGAUACCAGGAGAAACUAGGCAUAGGCUUGGCUGAAGUUAUUGUCAAUGACAGCACUUCUUCUGUCUAUAAAGUGUGUAUUCCUGCCUUCUCUCAGUAUCACUCUAUAUCAUCCCUUAAGCUAUAAAUACAUGCUUUCUUUGUUCUUCUUGCCCUAAGAAUAACUUUAAAGACCUUUUUUGGCCGGGCGAGGUGGCUCACGCCUGUAAUCCUAGCACUUUGGGAGGCCGAGGUGGGUGGAUCACCUGAGGUCAGGAGUUCAAGACCAGCCUGGCCAUCGUGGCGAAACCCCAUCUUUAAAAAAAAAGACCUUCUUUAUUUUCCUUAGAAUUUCUGGCACACUACAGCACAGUCCUCCUGACAGUAUUUUUCACGAUUGUCCCAUUCUUCAGGAUCCAUCUCUGAUUAUACUUCCCUUCAUCUAUAUUUUGUCCAUCCUCUCAAAACAUUAGCUCAACAGGCCAGGUGGUGGCUCACACCUGUGAUCCCAGUACUUUGGGAGGCCGAGGCAGCCAGAUCACCUGAGGUCAGGAGUUCAAGACCAGCCUGGCCACAUGGCGAAACCCAGUCUCUACUAAAAAUACAAAAAUUAGUUGAAUGUGGUGGCAGGUGCCUGCAAUCCCAGCUACCCAGCAGGCUGAGGCAGGAGAAUCACUUGAACCUGGGAGAUGAAGGUUGCAGUGAGCCGAAUCACACCACUGCACUCCAGCCUGGGUGACAGUGAGAUUCUGUCUCAAAACAAGAAAAAAAACCGACACAUGAGCUCAACAGGGAGCUCAGGCCGGCACAUGGGUUUCCAUUACUGCUUCCCUCUUUUCAUCUUCAUCAUGAUUAUUCAUGAUUGUAUAAUCAGAAUUUCUUUUUAAAGAAGCUCCCCACUUGAUAUUAGCUGACAGAACAAAAGAUUUUUGAUUAAAUGAUGACUCUUCCCUGCUCACUGAAAGUCAAAAGCUAACAAAAUACUUUGAUCAAAAAAUGGCUUUUAUAUCCAUUGUUAUGAAAAUAGUGAAACACUUUCAGGAGUAAAUGAAUAUUUUUGUGGACAGAUGCUUUUAGAGGUCAAGAAUCAUUGAGAGAGCUGUUUCUGAACAAAGAACUGGAAAAGCCAGGCUCUGCCAAUGCACAAGUGUAAACGUAAAUGAACUAUGUUGCCAGGCACCUAUUUUCACAGAACACUCUUCUCCUUUGCCUGAACCAUUUCAUCAGCUUUCUUUUCUUUUACUUUCUUUCUUUUUUUUUUUUUUUUUUUUUUUGGAGAUGCAGUCUUGCUUUGUCCAGGCUAGAGUGCAGUGUCACAAUCUUGGCUCACUGCAACCUCCACCUCCCGGGUUCAAGCAAUUCUCCUGCCUCAGCCUCCCAAGCAGCUGGGAUUACAGGUGUGUGCCACCACACCUAGCUGAUUUUUGUAUUUUUAGUAGAGGCAGGAUUUCACCAUGUUGGCCAGGCUGGUCUGAAACUGACAGAACACAUCCACCCAUCUCAGCCUCCCACAGUGCCAGGAUUAUAGGUGUGAGCCACCAGGCCUGGCUCAACAGCUUUCUAAUUGUCUCCAUGUGUCCAGACUUGUGACCCUCAAAUCCAAACUACACAGACACCAAGAUCUACCUAAAACACAAGUCUCAGAAUGAAUGACCUUCCCCGUUCCCACUUGUGGCCUAUAGGACAGAGAUCACACUCCCCACUGGCAAGCGCGCACCUUGCAGAAACAGGCCCUGUCUCCCUUGCAAGCCCUCUUUCUGCACAGCUCCAUGCCUACCAGCUGUGCUUUAACCAUCCCACCCCCGGCACCCACCACACUGAUUCUCACCUUUUUGCCUUUGCACACACAGUCCCCUCCAUCUGGCAUGACUUCUUACACCCUGACCCCUCAGGUUGUUCCUUACUACUCAGUUCAGGCACCAUUUGCCUUGAGAAGCCUUUUCUCGUCCUUGUGCCCACAUAACUCCCUGAGACUAUUUUACAUCAGGGUAUACAAGUAUCUAUUCCUGCAUCUGUCUUUCCAACAGUGAGCUCCCAAGACCAGGAACUGGGUUUGUGGGUCUUUGAAUCCCCUGCCCUAGCAAAGCCCCUGGCACAUUGUAAACUAGAUCAGUGUUGGUUGAAUGAAGUUUGUUUGUUUGUUUUUUGAAGGAGGGUCUCACUCUGUCAUCCAGGCUGGAGUGCAAUGGCGCGAUCUCAGCUCACUGCAACCUCUACCUCCUGGGUUCAAGUGAUUCUCCUGCCUCAGCCUCCUGAGUAGCUGGCAUUACAGGGACCUGCCACCUUGCACAGCUAAUUUUUAGUAGACAUGGGGUUUUACCAUGUUGGCCAGGCUGGUUUCAAACUCUUGACCUCAAGCGAUCCACCCAUCUUGGCCUCCCAAAAUGCUAGGAUUACAGGCGUGAGCCACUACACCCAGCCUAUUGAAUGAAGUUUGAAUGAAACCUCUUUUUUUUUUUUUUGAGACGGAGUUUCUCUCUUGUUGCCCAGGCUGGAGUGCAUGAUUUCGCUCACUGCACCCUCCACUUCCCGGGUUCAAGCGAUUCUCCUGCCUCAGCCUCUCAAGUAGCUGGAAUUACAGUCACGUGCCACCACACCCAGCUAAUUUUGUAUUUUCAGUAGAGAUGAUGCUUCUCCAAGUUGGCCAGGCUGGUUUUGAACUCAGGUGAUCCGCCCUCCUCUGCCUCCCAAAGGGCUGGGAUUACUGACACGAGCCACCACGCAGCCGAAACCUCUUGCUCUUAGAAGGAACGUCAGGUAUUUGCAAUGCCUAUUCUCUUCUCUCAUCUGCCUUACAAAUUAUUUUGAAAUAUCUGAAUUAUUUUCUUAUAUUUAUUUAUUUUUAUUUUUAUUUUAAGACGGAGUUUCGCUCUUGUUACCCAGGCUGGAGUGCAAUGGCGCGAUCUCGGCUCACCGCAACCUCCGCCUCCUGGGUUCAGUGAAUUCUCCUGCCUCAGCCUCCUGAGUAGCUGGGACCACAGGCAUGCACCACCAUGCCCAGCUAAUUUUUUGUAUUUUUAGUAGAGAUGGGAUUUCACCAUGUUGACCAGUAUGGUCUCAAUCUCUUGACCUCGUGAUCCACCCGCCUCGGCCUCCCAAAGUGCUGGGAUUACAGGCGUGAGCCACCGUGCCCGGCCCCGAAUUAUUUUCUUAUAUUUAAAUGUUUGAAAUAUUUUCUGAUGUUUUUAUCCAGAAAGAAAAUAACGACAUUUUUAUAUAAAAUCAAUUUUUUUAUUUAUUCAUUUAUUUUGAAAUGGAGUCUCACUGUCACCCAGGCUAGAGAACAAAAUCAAUUUUUAAAUGUUUUCAAUUUAUUUUUAUACCUCCACCAACUUUCAGAAUUUAUUUAAGGCAUUUUUUUUAAGAGACAAGGUCUUGCCCUGUCACUAGGCUGGAGUACAGUGGUGAGAUCAUAAUUCACUGCAGUCUCAAACUCCUGUGCUCAAGUGAUUCUCCUCUCUCAGCCUCCUGAGUAGCUGGAACUACAGGUGCACGCCAUCAUUUUAUUUUAUUAGAGAUGGAUGUCUCACUGUGUUGCACAGGCUGGUCUUGAACUCUUGGCCUCAAGUGAUCCUUCUGGGAGAUAAUUUAUAAUAAAAUAAAAAAUAUUAAUCUAUUAAGUCACUUCCCCCACCCAACCAGUAACAGACUCCUGCUUAUGUCUUACAGCCCAGGACUGGAUUGCAUGGAUUCCUCUGACUGCUUCAGAGGCUGGGAAAGCAAGUGCCAUGCUCACCUUUCCAGCCUGCAUAGUAGGAAGUGUCAGGGAGAGGCUAUGGAAUGUAACUGAUUAGACAACCAAGAGUUUCUGCCACUGAAUGUAAACAGCACUUAACAUUUAUUAAGUAGGUUCUUAUAUAACCCAGGAAUCUUGCCUCACUAGCAAAUAAGGUUCCAUCUCUUCUAUUUGUAAGACACUGAGCCCUCCCUAUAUGAAAGGAAAUUAAUUUUUCUUUUGAGUUUUAUCCACCCAACAGCAAAGUCCUGGGGAUGUUGAAGGAUGCUUGUAUGGUAUGUCAUUCAGAACAUUUGGUUGCAAGUAACAGGAACCCCACUCUCAUUAGCCAAAAUAAAAAGCGAUGAAUGGCUCCCAGGCCCAACCAUAGGAAUGCAGGGGGAGGAGCUUAGCUUUCGUGGCACUAGGUCUUGAAAGCUUCUCACUGUCCAUCUCUUAGCUCUGAUUCACUCUCUGGUGGCUUCAUUCCUAUAACACCAGACUUAUGGCCUCAACAGCUCCAGGCUUACAUCUUUAUGACCUUGAAUCUGGAGAGGAAAGAAAGCUCUUUCCUGCCAACUCUAAGUAGAAAAGGCCCAGGAAAGGACUCUGUUCCAGUUUCAGUCCCAUCCUGCUGGUGGCCAGGGAUGGAGGACAGCAGCUAGCCCCACUGGGACAGAUGCCCACCCUUUGAGGGGCUUGAGGUACUAAGGAUAAUCACCCCACCAGAGUCAUUGGGUUAGGAUGGGGAGCAUGCCACAAAGAAACCAAAGGUACUGACUAUGAGAAAAGACAGGAGUAAACCCUGGGCAACUAACAGCAGCGGCCCACGUGCUGGCUGGCGGCUCCACCUCUACGCUGCUCUCCUCAAUCAUUUCCUCCAUUGUCUCACCACUGCCACUGAAACACUAACAGCCUAUGAAAUUGGAGGGCAAGAGGGCCCCAUAUGCCAAAGCGAUUGCAGAAGCGGGACAGAGCAUGGACCAUGCUGCAGACAUUGGAACAGCUCAAGGGUGCUGAAUAAGGCUCUAUCCUCAUCUCCCCAUAAACAGUGGUUCCUUGGGGUAUGGCAAAGGCGCCAUUCCACCUGGGGCCAUGCUCCACUGGUCACGCUAAACCUAGGGCUCACUCACACCCAAACAAUCUCCCUUGGGCCCCAAUGAACAUCUCUUUUUGACCCAGGUACAUGCUGACCUUUUGCCCGAUGUGUGAUCCGCAGCCACUUGCUGUGCCAAGAGCCAGCGUUUGCCCAAGAAGCCCUCUGGGACCCCUAGAGCAGAGGCCAUUCCUUCCUCCUCUAGUCCUGAGGUAGGCUGCAUUGGCUGCUCCAGAUGGUUUUUCAUUCCUUUCCGGAAGUUCGCCUUUUUAUAGUGGCUUUCUUCACAAUAACAAAUUUAUUCCUAAUCAGGCAACAGAGCAAAACUAGGCACGUGGAAUCACAUCAAGCUAAAAAGCUUCUGCACAGUGAAGGAAACAAUCAACAAAAUGAAAACACAGUCUACAGAAUGGCAGAAAAUAUUUUUAAGCCAUCCAUCCCAUAAGGGAUUAAUAACCAGAAUAUAUAAGGAACUCAACUCAAAAGCAAAAAAAAAUCCAAUUGAAAAAUGGGCAUAUUCUGCUCUCUGAAAAGCUGAGUUGUCAAAAAAAAAAAAAAUGAAAAAUGGGCAAAAGAGGCCAGGUACAGUGGCUUACGCCUGUAAUGCCAGCACUUUGGGAGGCUGAGGCUGGCAGAUCACUUGAGGCCAGGAGUUUGAGACCAGCCUGAACAACAUGGUGCAAUCCUAUCUCCACUAAAAAUACAAAAAUUACCUGGGAAUGCUAGUGCACGCCUGUGAUCCCAGCUACUCAGGAGGCUGAGGUAGAAGAAUCACUUAAACCCCGGAGGGAAAGGUUGCAGUGAGCUUAGAUUGUGCCUCUGCACACCAGCAAGACUCUCUUAAAAAAAAAAAAAAGGCAAAAGACCUGAGUAGACAUUUCUUCUGUUGUAAUUCUUUUUUUUUUUUUUCUUUUUUGAGACAGAGUCUUGCUCUUUCACCCUGGCUGGAGGGUGCAGUGGCUCUAUCUCCGCUCACUGCAACCUCCACCUCCUGGGUUCAAGUGAUUCUUCUGCCUCAACCUCCCAAGUAGCUGGGACUAUAGGUGUGCUCCAGCACGCCCAACUAAUUUUUGUUUUGUUUUGUUUUGUUUUUUCUCAAGCCAGCUGAGUUUUGUAUUUUUAGUAGAGACGUGAUUUUGCCAUGUUGGCCAGGCCGGUCUCAAACUCCUGACCUGAGGUGAUCUGCCCGCCUUGGCCUCCCAAAGUACUGGGAUUACAGGUGUGAGCCUCCACACCCAGCCAUUUCCUUUGUAAUUCUGUAUGUUUUUUUUUUUUUCUUAUACUUUAGGGAGCCUCAGUCUUUGCUCUCAAGGUUUUCAACUAAUUGAAUGAGGCCCGUCCAUGUUACAGAGGGUCAUCUGCUUUACUCGCUGCCAACUGGUUUAAAUGUUAAUCAUCUAAAACUCACCUUCACAGCAACAUCCUGACUGGUGUUUGACCAAACAACUGGGCACUACAACUUCGUCAUGACACAGAAAAUUAACCAUCAGACCACUGGAAACAGGGUUUUGGGGUACAUGUGAAGAACAUGCAAGAUUGUUGCAUAGGUACACAUAUGGCAGCGCGAUUUGCUGCCUUCCUCCCCUUCACCUAUAUCUGCCACAGGACAAAAGAAUGAGAGAGGAGGAGGCAGCAGGGGAGAGAAGUGAACCAAAUUUUGAAUGCUGGGAGAAGAUGGACAGGUGGUGACUGAUCUUUCCUCGAGAAUCUCUGGAGCCACAGUGCCCAGCCAGCAGUGUCCAGCACAUGGAAAUUUAUCAAAUGAGAAUGGGAGGGAAUAAAGAAAAAAUGAGGGAGAGAGAUCCAAGAUGGCCGACCACUAGCAGCUCAGGCUUGUAGCUCCCAUUGAAAGCGCGGAGAAUGAGAGGACGCCACACUUUCAGACGAAUUUUUGUUGCUCAAGGACCAGGAGAUUCCCAGCGGAGGAGCCCCACGGGUGGCCAGCGCGACUCUUGCAGCCGGCGCUGCAGUUUUGCCGAUGCCCCGGCGCGGCGGUUCUUGGUGCAGAGUAAACGGGACGGGUUCCCCUUUUGGCCGAUGUUUGGAGCUGAUUGAAGAAGGGAUUCAGGAGGGAAGCCAGACGGGAGACUCCCAGACAGAAAAGCACCAAGAAUCUUGACGCUGCUGUUUUAGCCGGCGCAGUGGGUUGCUCAGAUUUCGGCCCUAGGAAUUAACAAGUUGCACGUCCACUAAGAGACCUAAUUUGGAAGUUGGUAAUUACAAAGACGACAGGUGGAUAAAUUUACAACGAUGGGAAGAAACCAGCGUAAAAAGGCUGAGAAUACCCAAACUCAGAAUGCCUUUCCCUCUACAGAGGAUCACAGUUCCUCAUCAACAGGGGAACAAGGCCUGAUGGAGAACGAGCGCAUUCCAUUAACAGAAUCAGGCUUCAGAAGAUGGAUAAUAAGAAACUUCUGAGUUAAAAUAAUGUGUGCUAGCCCAACGUAAAGAAACUAAGAACUUUGAAAAAAGAUUUGACGAAAUCCUAACGAGAAUAGACAAUUUAGAGAGGAAUAUAAGUGAAUUAAUGGAACUGAAGAAUACAAUAUGAGAACGCCACGAAGUAUGCACAGGUGAAUUGAUCAAUCAGAAGAAAGGAUAUCAGAGGUCUAAGUCCAACUUAAUGAAAUGAAACGAGAAGACAAGAUUAGAGAAGAAAAAGUAAAAAGGAAUGAGCAAGGUCUCCAAGAAAUAUGGGACUGUGUGAAACGACCUAAUUUAUGUUUGAUAGGUGUACCUGAAUGUUAUGAAGAGAAUGAAUCCAAGCUGGAAAAUAUUCUUCAGGAUAUUCUUCAGGAAAACUUUCCUAACCUAGUAAGGUGGGACAAUACUCAUCUCCAGGUAAUACAGAGAACACCACAAAGAUAUUCCUCAAGUAGAGCAACCCCAAGACACAUAAUUGUUAGAUUCACCAUGGUUGAAAUAAAGGAGAAAAUUCUAAGGGCAGCUAGAGAGAAGGGUCAGGUUACCCAUAAAGGGAAGCCUAUCAGACUUGCAGCAGAUCUCUCAGCAGAAACCCUACAAGCCAGAAGAGAGUGGGGGUUAAUAUUCAAUAUCCUCAAAGAAAAGAAUUUUCAACCCAGAAUCUCAUAUCCAGCCAAACUAAGCUUUAUAAAUGAAGGAAAAAUAAAAUUUUUCACGAACAAGCAAGCAUGCAGAGAUUUCACCACCACCAGGCCUGCUUUACAAGAGCUUCUGAAAGAAGCACUACACACAGAAAGGAACAACCAGUAUCAGUCAUCCCAAAAACUUACCAAAAGAUAAAGAGUAUCUCCAUAAUGAAGUUGAUAUUUAUAUCAACUCAUGGGCAAAAUAGCCAGCCAGCAUUAAAUGACAAUAUUAAACUCACAAAUAUCAAUAUUAAUCCUGAAUUUAAAUGGAUUAAACGCCCCAAAGACACAGACACACAAACUGAAUAAAAAGUGAAAACACAUCGGCACUCUGUAUCCAGAUCCAUCUCAUAAGCAAGGACACACAAAGACUCAAAAGGUUGGAGGAAGACUCACCAAUCAAAUGGAGAGGAAAGAAAAACAAAACAAACAAAAAAAAAAACAGGAGUUGUGACUUUCGUCUCUGACAAAAUAGACUACAAUAGUGACCAAGACUAAAAGAAGCAAAGAAGGACAUUACAUAAUGAUAAAAAGAUCAAUGCAACAAUAGGAGUCAAUGAUCAUAAAUAUAUAUGUACCCAAUAUAGGGGCACCCAGAUACAUAAGACAAGUUCUCAAUGACUUAUAAAGAUACUUGGACUCCCACUCAGUAAUAGCGGGAGACUUUGAUACCACAUUGUUAAUAUUCAACGGAUCAACGAGAUAGAAAAUUAACAGAGACAUUUAUGAUUUGAACUCAGACCUGGAACAAGCAAACUCAGCGAAUAUUUAUAGAUUCUUCACCCCAGGUCCACAGAACAUACUAUUUUUUUAGUAUCACAUUACACCUAUUUUGAAAGUGACCACAUAAAUGGAAGCAAAUCACUCUUCAGCACUUGCACAGCAUUUCACAGAUGUAAAUGAAAUAUUGGUUGGCUGUUUGUUAUUUUCGUUCCUUAUUCCUUCCUGUCUCCGCUGUUAAGCACAAUCAUCAGCAUAAAAGAGGGUUUUAAUACCUAUUUCUAGAUUGCAUUCCAGCCUGGGCAACAGAGCAAGACUCCAGUUCUCUCUCCCCCUUUUCUCUUUCUCUUUUUCUAAAAAAAAAAAAAAAAAAAAAAAAAAACCCACAUGCUGAUCCUCAGAAAUACUCAAGCACUGUCAUAGAAAAAAUGAAAUUCCUAAACUUCAAAGCCAUUUCCAACUGGAGGCCCCGUACACAACCAAUGAGCUGGCCAGUAGGUGGCGCCAAAGGUUAAUCACAGCCUUUGGCGGAAGGGUUCGCAUUUGAUCCCGCUGGAAAGCAAGUCAGUUUUCCACUCAGCACACAUAGACGACUGCGUGCCAUGUGCCAGCUCCUGAGACGAGAAAGACAGAGUCCAAUUUCAAUUCACACCGGGGACUAAGAGCUGUGGAGGAGGCACGCAGAGUGAAUUUGGCCAGGGGAGGUGAUUUCCAAGCCGAGCUCAGCUGACACGUGUUUGCCUGGAGAAGGGCACUGCGAGAGAUUCCAGGUGCAUUUGGAGAACACAGCGUGGAAGGAUGAUCAGCCCUUCGGGCUGCUGCAGUAACGGAGUGAAUAAAAGGGGGUGCUGUAAUGUUGAAUUUGAGGGUGAGGGGCCCUGAGUGCACUUAGCAGGAUGUGUUGCCCAUGGAGGCUGGAGGGAGGGGCGAGAGAAUGGUGCUGCUGUGAACUCAGAGGAGGAGGUCGGGAGGCUGGAACAAAACCAGAAAACGGUGCAGCCGCGUAUUCUUGGUGCACCACCCCCACCCCACCACCCUUUCGCGUUCUGUUGCCUCUCUCUGUAUCUGUUUCUCUGCCAUAUUCUUCUGAAAUCACCAGGUCCCCUGGUCAGGGCUGACCCUGGUGCCCCAUUAGGCUGCCUUAGGGAACUCAGCUGGGUUGUGGGCAGGGCUGGGGAGAUGCCUUGGUGACAUGCCCAUGUCCAGCAUUUCAGGUCUGAGAGCACCAAGGUGAGGCAUGGAGAUGGACACAGGAGGGGGCCUCCCAAGGAAGGUGUAUGUUGAUGCCCCAUCAGUGAGCAGUCAGAGGCGGGGUCAGCCAGGCCCUGGGGUUUGAAGGCCUAGAGAGGGACUAUGGGCUCAGUGUCCUGGGGGCCCAGGGGUUUUCUGCACUGGGAAGUGGGAAGAUGAAAAUGGGAAUGUAGAACAGAUGAACCAGCAAGAGCCAGCUGGAAGUGGAAGUGGGGGGGCCCUGCGGGCCUGGAUUGGGGCAGGACCCUAAGCACAGAGAGAAAGAACGUUUUUUUGUUUGUUUGUGAGACAGAGUCUUGCUGUGUCAGCCAGGCUGGAAUGCAGUGGUGCAAUCUUGGCUCACUGCAACCUCUGUCUCUUGGGUUCAAGCAAUUCUCUUGCCUCAGCCUCCCGAGUAGCUGGGACUACAGGUGCACAGCACCACACCCAGCUAAUUUUUUGUAUUUUUUUAGUAGAGAUGGGGUUUCACCGUGUUGCCCAGGCUGGUCUCGAACUCCUGAGCUCAGGCAAUCCACCCGCGUUGGCCUCCCAAAGUGCUGGGAUUACAGGCGUGAACCACUGUGCCCGGCAAGAAAGAAUGUUUUAAAGGAAAAAUCCCCCAGACUUGGCAGCUGUCAGAAUGUGGGGGCUGAAGGCAAGAGACGAGUCAAAGAUGACUCAGAAGAUUUGAAGGUGAGUUCAAGGAAAAAUGGCAGUACUUUGGGGAAGGAGUUCAAAUUCACGUCCAGGACCCCCAGUUUUGCUGAGACAGGAGCAUGCCAGAAUGCAUCUGCUUGUUGUUUGCGUGUUUCUGGCCUGACCCUCCCUAGCAAGAACGUAAGCUCCUGAGGGAGCUACCUCUGCUUUGUCAGCUCUUUCUACUUUACCCAGAGGGGCUCAUGCACAUCUGUUCCCUUCCUGACUCAGAGUAGGCGCCAGGGGACUCAGACUGAGGCUUCUGCAGGAGGGAGGCUGGGAAGGCCUGCAGGUGAGGGGUUAUAGGGAGGAAAGAGUCCCGCCAUCCCUCUCCCACACCCACUCCUAAGCACCCCCAGGACUGGACCCCACUCAGAGGCACAGCCUCCUGUCCCCCAGGGCUGUCUUCCUCCAAGAUCCCAGGCUUUUUGGCCUGAGACUGCCAGCAUGGGAAUCAUCUUUGUGCCCAUCCAUGCCUGUCCCAUUCCCUUCCCAAUCCAUCCUUUCUAUCACAUUCCUGCCCACAUUCCCAGCAUCCUGUUCACUGGAGGCCCAUCCACAUGGAUGUGCCACAGACACUGUCGCCCAACAAAGGUGACACUGAACCACUGGCAGGGGUAACCUGCCACCAUCUGCUGGGCCCCAUGUUUUCCUGGCGAGCACGGCCUCACCCACCCGGGAACAUCUGGGGCUCCUGUGCUUCACCCUGUUAAUUUACUCUAUUAACUGGAACUCUCUGGAGUUUGCCCCUGCUCCGCCCACCAACUUUUCGGGGACAGGCCCUCCUCAGGUCUCACUGGAAGUGUGCUUCCGCCACUCCACAGUCAGAGUGGAUGCGGGCCAGACUGCAGCUCCUGGGAAGACGCCACAACGCCUCCUAUGAUCUCCAGGCCACAUUUCCAGUCCCUUGGCCCCUGCCUACUUCUGACUUCAGCUCCAGUGGCCAACCCCUGCCCCAAAAGGGGCUGUGUCCCCCGACCCACUGCACUGAAAGAAAUUUUCCAGCCUCCAUUUUCUUUUUACUUCUUGCCUUCUCACUGUUCCCUAGCUAACUCCUAGUGUUCCUUCUAGAUUUCACCGAAGACCCUCAGGGCUGUUGCAAACACUGUUCCCUCCCUCUCCUGCAUGCCCUUCCCCACAGUCCCUCCCUACAGCCAGCACCUGCCCUCCUCAGUGCUCAGGGUGCCCCAAACCAUCCCAGCGCUCUUCAAGAGUUUCUAAGUCAGCCAGGCGCGGUGGCUCACUCCUAUAAUCCCAGCACUUUGGGAGGCCGAGGUGGGUGGAUUACGAGGUCAAGAGAUCGAGACCAUCCUGGUCAACAAGGUGAAACUCCGUCUCUACUAAAAAUACAAAAUAUUAUCUGGGCAUGGUGGUGCACCCCUGUAGUCCCAGCUACUCAGGAGGCUGAGGCAGGAGAUUGCUUGAACCCAGGAGGCGGAGGUUGCAGUGAGCCGAGAUCGUGCCAUUGCACUCCAGGCUGGGUAACAACAGCGAAACUCCAUCUCAAAAAAAAAAAAAAAAAGUUUCUAAGUCCACAUAUUUAGGUGGUGGGGCUUUAUGUCUGCUUCCACUACAAUGGGGAAGACAAUUUUGCUCCCACUUUGAGGGAUUUUGUCCACAAAAUCUUGUCACAAUUUUGUCCAGUGCCUGGACACGGGCUUUUGGUACACAGAUAUGACAUGAUGCACAAAUAAUGAGCAGUGAGACUCCAUUUCUGGCUUAACAUGGCUAGACUUUUUUCUUCAGCUUGACUCAGUGCUGCCAACAGUGGGAGGGAGGGGAAGGAGAGUUUGCCAGCUCCCUUCUGACGGCAGCAUGUGGUGAAUUCAAGAAGUGACCAACCCCAAGCCGGCUUUGAAGGUUUGAAGGAUGGGUUAAAACUUGCUAGGUGAAGAACAGUUUUGGUACCAAAGUAGCCGCGAUUUUAUGGUUGGUCAAUGGAAAAACUGGUUUGCUCUGUGGAAAUCCACUGUAGGGUCAACUCUGAAACAUACAUGGCCAGCACCUGCUCCCAGAAUCCUCCUACAUACCUUUUUUCCUUUUUUCUUUUUCUUUUUUUUUUGAGACAAAGUCGCUCAAGUGCCAGGCUGGAGUGCAGUGGCGGGAACUCGGCUCACUGCAACCUCCACUUCCCGGGUUCAAGCAAUUCUCCUGUCUCAGACUCCCGAGUAGCUAGGACUACAGCCGUGUGCCACCAUGCCAGGCUAAUUUUUUGUAUUUUUAGUAGAGAUGGGGGUUUCACCAUGUUGGCCAGGCUGGUCUCUAACUCCUGACCUCAGGUGAUCUGCUCGCCUCGGCCUCCCAAAGUUCUAGAAUUACAGGUGUGAACCACCAUACCUCUCACAUCCCUUCUAUGGUCACCCCGUUGUAGAGCUAUUUAGCCCGAAGCACAGAGAGUCUGAGAAGCUUGCUCAGAGUCACACAGCCAGUGAGUGGCAGGGCUGGAAUUCACAAUCUGGCUCCAAACCUGUGCUUUAACUGAUGCCAUCUUUCUUGGAAACUGUCUGUUUCCAAGAAAUACUGCUUUUUCUUUCGUUUUUAAGUAUAUACAUUUUUUAAAUUUACUUUUCCCUCACUACACUGCUUUACAAUUUUUCUUUCCUAAGUAUGAACCACUUAACUUUCCUAUAUAAUUAUAGCUUGAUCCUGAACAUUUCUUCAACUUUCUACGAGGUUUGCUAAACAUCAACUUUUGAAAAACAGCUGUUGGCUGGGGGUGGUGGCUCAUGCCUAUAAUUCCAGCACUUUGGGAGGCCAGGGCAGGCGGAUCACAUAAGGCCAGGAGUUUAAGACCAGCUUGGGACCAGACACGGUGGCUCACACCUGCAAUCCCAGCACGUUGGGAGGCCAAGGCAGGCUGCUCACGAGGUCAGGAGUUCGAGACCAGUCUGGCCGACAUAGUGAAACUCCAUCUCUGCUAAAAAUACAAAAAAAUUAGUCAGGUGUGGUAGGACGCACCUGUAAUCCCAGCUACUGAGGAGGCUGAGGCAAGAGAAUUGCUUGAACUCAGGAGGCAGAGGUUGCAGUGAGCCAUGAUCUUGCCACUGCACUCCCAGCUGGGCAACAGUGUGAGACUUCCUCUCCAAAAAAAAGCUGGGUGCAAUGGCUUACACCUGUAAUCCCAGCACUUUGGGAGGCUGUGGCAGGUGGAUCAUUUGAGGUCAAGAGUUCAAGACCGGCCUGGCCAACAUGGUGAAACCCAGUCUCUAGUAAAAAUACAAAAAUUAGUUGGGCAUUGUGGCACAUGGCUGUAAUCGCAGCUACCCAGGAGGCAGAGGUUGCAGUGAGACAAGAUCUCAUCCUGCACUCCAGCCUGGGCGACAGAGUGAGACCCUGUCUCAAAAACAACAAAAAAAGACCAGCUUAGGCAACUUGGUGAAACCAUGUCUCUACUAAAAACACAAAUGCAAUCUCUGCCAGACCGCUGCCGAGCCGCCAUCAUGGAUACCAGCCGUGUGCAGCCUAUCAAGUUGGCCAGGGUCACCAAGGUCCUGGACAGGACCGGUUCUCAGGGACAGUGCACGCAGGUGUGCGUGGAAUUUAUGGACAACACGAGCCGCUCCGUCAUCCCCAAGGUAAAACGCCCUGUGCUCGAGGGCAACAUGCUGACCCUGUUGGAGUCUGAGCAAGGCCUGGAGGUUGCACUGGGUUUGGCUGCUCGCUGGGUUUUGGAUGUUGGAUUCGACCACUUGAGAUGGAAAUGGUGUGUCACGAUCUGGUCCUUUAUUUUGUGCUGCCACAUGUAAGUUGAGAUGGACCUUUAAAUAAGGCAUUUGUGAUACAAGUU